AGUGAACGCUGGCGGUAGGCCUAACACAUGCAAGUCGAACGGCAGCACAGUAAGAGCUUGCUCUUACGGGUGGCGAGUGGCGGACGGGUGAGGAAUACAUCGGAAUCUACUUUUUCGUGGGGGAUAACGUAGGGAAACUUACGCUAAUACCGCAUACGGCCUACGGGUGAAAGCAGGGGAUCUUCGGACCUUGCGCGAUUGAAUGAGCCGAUCUCGGAUUAGCUAGUUGACGGGGUAAAGGCCCACCAAGGCGACGAUCCGUAGCUGGUCUGAGAGGAUGAUCAGCCACACUGGAACUGAGACACGGUCCAGACUCCUACGGGAGGCAGCAGUGGGGAAUAUUGGACAAAGGGCGCAAGCCUGAUCCAGCCAUACCGCGUGGGUGAAGAAGGCCUUCGGGUUGUAAAGCCCUUUUGUUGGGAAAGAAAAGCAGCAGGUUAAUACCCCGCUGUUCUGACGGUACCCAAAGAAUAAGCACCGGCUAACUUCGUG
rnacentral:rRNA from 1 species